GGACUACUCGGGUUUCUAAUCCUGUUUGCUCCCCACGCUUUCGAGUCUUAGUGUCAGAAACCGUCCAGAUAGCCGCCUUCGCCACUGGUGUUCUUCCCAAUCUCUACGUAUUUCACCACUACACUGGGAAUUCCACUAUCCUCUCCGGUCCUCUAGCUGCCCAGUAUCAAGCGCAUUUCUUGAGUUGAGCUCAAGGCUUUCACGCCUGACUAUGACAACCACCUACACUCGCUUUACGCCCAGUAAUUCCGAACAACGCUUGCCCCCUUCGUCUUACCGCGGCUGCUGGCAC
rnacentral:rRNA from 1 species